rnacentral:rRNA from 1 species
ACGAACGCUGGCGGCGUGCUUAACACCUGCAAGUCGAACGGAAAGGCCCUGCUUGCAGGGUACUCGAGUGGCGAACGGGUGAGUAACACGUGGGUGAUCUGCCCUGCACUUCGGGAUAAGCCUGGGAAACUGGGUCUAAUACCGGAUAGGAGCCAUUUUAGUGUGAUGGUUGGAAAGUUUUUUCGGUGUAGGAUGAGCUCGCGGCCUAUCAGCUUGUUGGUGGGGUAAUGGCCUACCAAGGCGGCGACGGGUAGCCGGCCUGAGAGGGUGGACGGCCACAGUGGGACUGAGAGACGGCCCAGACUCCGACGGGAGGCAGCAGUGGGGAAGAUUGCACAAUGGGCGCAAGCCGGAUGCAGAGACGCCGCGUGGGGGAUGACGGCCUUCGGGUUGGAAACUCCUUUCGCUAGGGACGAAGCUUUUUGUGACGGUACCUAGAGAAGAAGCACCGGCUAACUACGUG